GACAGAGGUGCCAAGCGUUAGGCGGAAUCACUGGGCUUAAAGCGUGUGUAGGCGGAUCGUUAAGUACCUUGUGAAAUCCCACGGCUUAACCGUGGAACUGCUCGGUAUACUGGCGGUCUUGAGCAACCUAGGGGCGAGCGGAACAAAUGGUGGAGCGGUGAAAUGCGUAGAUAUCAUUUGGAACGCCAAUGGUGAAAACAGCUCGCUGGGGGUUUGCUGACGCUGAGACACGAAAGCCAGGGGGAGCAAACGGGG
rnacentral:rRNA from 1 species